GACAGAGGUGCCGAGCGUUAGGCGGAAUCACUGGGCUUAAAGCGUGUGUAGGCGGAUCGUUAAGUACCUUGUGAAAUCCCACGGCUUAACCGUGGAACUGCUGGGUAUACUGGCGAUCUUGAGGUGCUCAGGGGCGAGCGGAACAGAUGGUGGAGCGGUGAAAUGCGUAGAUAUCAUCUGGAACGCCUGCGGUGAAAACGGCUCGCUGGGAGCAAUCUGACGCCGAGACACGAAAGCCAGGGGAGCGAACGGG
rnacentral:rRNA from 1 species